rnacentral:rRNA from 1 species
CAAUAGCGUAUAUUAAAGUUGUUGCGGUUAAAAAGCUCGUAGUUGGAUUCCUGCCGAGGAUGACCGGUCCGCCCUGUGGGUGUGCAUCUGGCUCAGCCUUGGCAUCUUCCUGAAGAACGUAGCUGCACUUGACUGUGUGGUGCGGUAUUUAGGACAUUUACUUUGAGGAAAUUAGAGUGUUUCAAGCAAGCGCACGCUUUGAAUACAUUAGCAUGGAAUAAUAAGAUAGGACCUCGGUUCUAUUUUGUUGGUUUCUAGAGCUGAGGUAAUGAUUGAUAGGGAUAGUUGGGGGCAUUCGUAUUCCGCUGUCAGAGGUGAAAUUCUUGGAUUUUUGGAAGACGAACUACUGCGAAAGCAUUUAUCAAGGAUGUUUUCAUUAAUCAAGAACGAAAGU